rnacentral:sRNA from 1 species
UAGCGGAGCGACAAAAUUCGCCAUUGAAAGACAGGCAGUGAACGAAGCUCAUUUCCGUUGUCCUGAUGAAUUGGGCUGGCAACCGCAG